rnacentral:rRNA from 1 species
UUGCAUAUCCAAUCCCUCUUUUUAGGAUGUAAUAGUUAUUACUUACUGUUUUUUUUUUUUAUUAUUAUUAUAAUAAUAAUCCAGGGGCAAAUAUUAUUAAAUAUUAAAAAGACUGGAUUGAGUAAUUUCUAUUUAAAUUUUUUAAUUUUUAAAUUUAUUAGAAAUUCGUUUAC